CAAGUACUCCCUCCGUCCGAAAAUACUUGUCAUCAAAAUGGAUAAGAAAUAUGUAUCUAGAACUAAUAUACAUCUAGAUACAUCCCCUUUUAUUCAUUUUGAUGACAAGUAUUUCCGGACGGAGGGAGUACUAC
rnacentral:pre_miRNA from 1 species